rnacentral:rRNA from 1 species
UACGUAGGGGGCAAGCGUUGUCCGGAUUUAUUGGGCGUAAAGAGCUCGUAGGUGGUUUGUCGCGUUGUCCGUGAAAACUCACAGCUCAACUGUGGGCGUGCGGGCGAUACGGGCAGACUGGAGUACUGCAGGGGAGACUGGAAUUCCUGGUGUAGCGGUGGAAUGCGCAGAUAUCAGGAGGAACACCGGUGGCGAAGGCGGGUCUCUGGGCAGUAACUGACGCUGAGGAGCGAAAGCGUGGGGGAGCGAAACAGG